GGUGAGGCCUUUUCCUCUCAGAGGAGGGCCAGGUAAGAGGCCAAAAUUUGUAAGCCCCAGGGAAAGGAGAACUCACGUAUGGGCUGCUGCCAACUUCCCCCAACAGGCUACCCCGUAAUGCACCUAGUAACCUCGGGAUGAUCUCCACAGACCAGGAAGAAGGCUGUUUUAAACGUGAUACCCAGAAGGGCAAGUGGCUUUCAAACUCUUACAGAAGCCCAGUGUGGGAAAGGGAGGAAGCAGGGCAGUUCUGAGUGGAGCAAUGCAGGGAGAGGGACAGAGAACUGCCCAACAUCACACAGCAAGGGAGCGGAGGACAGAAUCAAAACUGUAUUCCCCGUCGCCUGAGGAUUCAUUUCCAGAGGGAUUUUAGAAGAUGAGACCCAUCAAGUGGAUGUCACAUUCGCCUUCUCCAUGACUCAAGCGUUCAGGCCAACAGGCCCACACCAAGGCCACUGGGACCCCCUCUGCCCUUCCAGGCUGCCCUCCACUCUUGGGUCCCCGGAGAGACAAGAGGACAGCCACAAAAAAGAAGCUGGCUUUUUCUGAAGCUCGAAAGAUGGUUAUCAGAGAAAGACCUUUGGUCCUGCCCUGCCUACAGCACUAGGAAAAGGACUGAAACACGUGUAAUUGAAAGCAUUAGAUGAAAGGAAAAGGCUCCCUUUCUUGAGCAUUUGCUGUGCACCAGGCAUAUUAUUCACCCACAUGGUGCCCGCUUGCGUUUGGUGGGAACUGUUUGUUUUUUGAGACAGGGUCUCUCUAUGUAGCUCAGGCUGGCCUCGAAAUCACAGUGAUCCUCCUGCCUCAGCCUCCCGAGUACAGGGAUUACAGGUGUGCACUACUACACCCGGCACUGCUGGGAACUUCUGUAACCAGGGCAGACAAGGCCCACCACUUGCAGCCUUUCUAAAUCUCAACUUCUUACCAGCUAAGUGUCCUCCAUAAUAGAGGAAAUGGGCUGAGUGAAAUGUCUUGCCCAGGGUCACACAGAAAAGACAUGGCAGGGUGUCAAAAAGUUAUAGAACAAGCAGGCUUCCAAAGCAGGCAGGGAAGGCUGUGGAGAAGGAUCUGCCAAGGUCACAGCAGUUUUUUGGGCAGCUGGCAUGGGCUGCUAAGGUGAUGGUAGAAUCUGCAGCCAAGCCACAGAAUCUGGCACAGGAAAUGCUCAGUCUGUGACCUCCAGCUGGAUAUGACAAUCUUGCUGGGGCCUUCUGGGUAAUUAGAGAGUGCUUCCUCAUGGGAGGCCAAAGUAGGAAAGCAGAGGAAGUGGACUUGACAGGCCUAAGAUGGGUCUCAGCUGGGCCAAUCACUGAUUAACCAUGUGGCCUUGAGCAAGUCAUUCCUCUCAUGAGCCUGUUUCCUCAUCUGCAAAAUGGAGAUAAGAAAAAUAGAGUGGAUUUCAUAGUCAGACUGGGAAGAUUAGUGAGCUACUCUAUGUAAUUGGGUGCAG
rnacentral:lncRNA from 1 species